rnacentral:rRNA from 1 species
UACGAAGGGUGCAAGCGUUAAUCGGAAUUACUGGGCGUAAAGGGCGCGUAGGCGGUUGGUUAAGUCUGGCGUGAAAUCCCCGGGCUCAACCUGGGAAUGGCGAUGGAAACUGGGCAGCUAGAGUGUGUCAGAGGAUGGUGGAAUUCCCGGUGUAGCGGUGAAAUGCGUAGAGAUCGGGAGGAACAUCAGUGGCGAAGGCGGCCAUCUGGGACAACACUGACGCUGAAGCACGAAAGCGUGGGGAGCAAACAGG